UCAUUGUCUACGGCCAUACCACCCUGAACACGCCCGAUCUCGUCUGAUCUCGGAAGCUAAGCAGGGUCGGGCCUGGUUAGUACUUGGAUGGG
rnacentral:miRNA from 1 species